CCUCGGGAGGCAGCAGUAGGGAAUCUUGGACAAUGGGGGCAACCCUGAUCCAGCCAUGCCGCGUGAGUGAAGAAGGCCCUAGGGUCGUAAAGCUCUUUCGCCUGUGAUGAUAAUGACAGUAGCAGGUAAAGAAACCCCGGCUAACUCCGUGCCAGCAGCCGCGGUAAUACGGAGGGGGUUAGCGUUGUUCGGAAUUACUGGGCGUAAAGCGCGCGUAGGCGGAUUGGAAAGUUGGGGGUGAAAUCCCGGGGCUCAACCCCGGAACUGCCUUCAAAACUCCCAGUCUAGAGUUCGAGAGAGGUGAGUGGAAUUCCGAGUGUAGAGGUGAAAUUCGUAGAUAUUCGGAAGAACACCAGUGGCGAAGGCGGCUCACUGGCUCGAUACUGACGCUGAGGUGCGAAAGUGUGGGGAGCAAACAGGAUUAGAUACCCUGGUAGUCCACACCGUAAACGAUGAAUGCCAGUCGUCGGAUAGUAUACUAUUCGGUGACACACCUAACGGAUUAAGCAUUCCGCCUGGGGAGUACGGUCGCAAGAUUAAAACUCAAAUGAAUUGACGG
rnacentral:rRNA from 1 species